rnacentral:rRNA from 1 species
ACUCAAAGGAAUUGACGGGGGCCCGCACAAGCAGCGGAGCGUGUGGUUUAAUUCGAUGCGACGCGCAGAACCUUACCUGGGCUUGACAUGGCGGGGCACCACGGGUAAUGCCGUGUCCGGUUCGCCGGCCCCGUCACCGGUGCUGCAUGGCUGUCGUCAGCUCGUGCCGUGAGGUGUUGGGUUAAGUCCCCUAACGAGCGCAACCCCUGGCGGGCGUUACCCCUAUUGUGGUGUGUCGCCCGCGACUGCCGCGCGCAACGCGGAGGAAGGUGGGGAUGACGUCAAGUCAGCACGGCCCUUACGUCCAGGGCUACACACACGCUACAAUGGCCGGUACAAUGGGCUGCCAACCCGCAAGGGGGAGCCAAUCCCAGCAAAGCCGGUCUCAGUUCGGAUUGCCGGCUGCAACCCGCCGGCAUGAAGCUGGAGUUGCUAGUAACCGGGGGUCAGCACACCCCGGUGAAUACGUUCCCGGGCCUUGUACACACCGCCCGU